CCGUGCUAGGUGGGAAGGUAGCGGUGUCUUGUAACUCGCAAUCCGCUCUAGCGAGACUGAACUCCUUCUCUGAGGUUGAAUACAUGUAGGGUCUGGUAUUUGCACGUGAUGUUGACGUUUGGGUCCUGCGCAAUGGGUGCCCAUGAACCAUGUCAGGUCCGGAAGGAAGCAGCAUUAAGUGGUGUUUUCUCAUGUGCCGCGGGGUAGCCUAAGCCGAGUUAACGACAAGGGUGCCGCUUAUGUGUUUCAAGCGAAGGAAGGUGCACGG
rfam:Psychrobacillus sp. FJAT-21963 scaffold68, whole genome shotgun sequence.